GACGAACCGUGCGAACGUUGUUCGGAAUCACUGGGCUUAAAGGGAGCGUAGGCGGGCUAACAAGUCUGGGGUGAAAUGUCCUGGCUCAACCAGGGAAUUGCGCUCGAAACUGCGGGGCUCGAGGGAGAUAGAGGCAAGCGGAACUCAGGGUGGAGCGGUGAAAUGUGUUGAUAUCCUGGGGAACACCGGUGGCGAAAGCGGCUUGCUGGGUCUCUUCUGACGCUGAGGCGCGAAAGCUAGGGGAGCAAACGGG
rnacentral:rRNA from 1 species